rnacentral:lncRNA from 1 species
CUCACAGCAGCCAGGAAGGCAAAAAUUCCCCUCUCUAUCCCAUCCCACUUCUUCUAUCAGCUUUUCCCAUACCCUCUACCCCACCAUUGUAGCAGUGGACUCUUGUCUUCUGGGGUAGUAGAAAGCUACCCUUUCCCCUUUUUUGGUGGGAAAAAUCGAGUAGCACAGAGAAGUGGAUGUGGAUGGUUUACGAUAAAAUUUUAUUUCCCCUCAGAUCAUCUCCCUUCUACCAAUGUUCCCUAUUUUCAUCAAAGGCACCACCAUCCCUCCAGUCUCCCAGACUUUAUUCUCCUUCAAGCUCAACUAAAAAUGCUCAUUUCUUUUUAAAAAAAUUUAAUUGUAUUAUAUUUUUAGGUCCAAAUUAUUUCCCUCUCUCUAGUGCCUCUUUGACCCAUUGAGAAGGCAAGAAAUACAAUAUUUAUUAUACAUUUGAAGUCAUGUAAAGCAUCUCCAAAUUGUCCAUGUUCUGGGGAAAAAAAGCAAGAAAAACAACGAAAAAGAGUUUGAAUGAAUGACAUGCAGCACCUCCCACAACUCUAUGUCCUCACUGUUACUUCACUCUGCUUCUGCAGGGGCCAUUCUUCCUGGCCUCCAAAGCUACAGCUUGAGGUACCGAUGCCUGAUUAAACAGUGCUCUGCUGGUAGAGCUUCUUCUCUCUCUUUUGUGAAACUGUCCAGGCAAUAUGUCCUUGGCCUAAUUGAUGUAGUUUCAGUUCUUUUUUUUUUUUUUUUGGUCCAUCCUAGCCUACAUCCAUACCUGAGUAGCAUACAAAAAGCCUACCAAAAGUUUGCCAGAAAGUUCAUUAGGGAGCCCCUAGCCCUCUACAUCCCAUUGGUUAGGGUGAGUAAAUCCCUUCAUUCCUUUGGCGUCUUGUGCCAAAUCCAUGCAAAUGACCCUGAGUCUUUGACAAACCUCAGUGAAGGCAUUAGCAAUCCUGAAGGAGCCAGAGCUGAGCUGAUACCCUUUCCCUUACAUUCCUGCCUCUUCAGCCAAGCCCACGCAAGGACUUGCAGGGAAAGAGAAAACCCCUCACCUUAGGGGGCCCAGUGGCAAGAGCUCUCCAGAUCAAAGCUCAUCUGCCAGCCGCCAGGAGGAAUGGGCCGCUGCUAACUGCAAGAAUGUAAGACUCCAAGGUAGGGAGAUGUGAGAUUGGGGGCCAGAGGCCAGAUGUGUGGGGGAUGAAUAGAGAUAAAGCCCUG